rnacentral:rRNA from 1 species
UUAGUACCGUGGGGGAAAGUUGAAAAGAACUUUGAAGAGAGAGUUCAAGAGUACGUGAAACCGUUCAGGGGUAAACCUGAGAAACCCAAAAGAUCGAAUGGGGAGAUUCAACGUAAACUCGGUCGAUUGCCGUGCGGUGCGCGAUAAUGAUUGUCUCGAUGAUCGUUACGCUAUCGCUGCGGCUUAUCAUUGAUCGAGUGAGCGUGCACUUCUCCCCUAGUAGGACGUCGCGACCCGUUGGGUGUCGGUCUACGGCUCGCAAGGUCGCCUGUAGCUUGGGCGUUUACGCGUUUCUCGCUGCAGACCUGCGAAUGCCCGGCCGACUGCCCGGCGGUAUUGAUCUUGAUCAUGUUGGUAUAUGGCCGCAUUUUUGUGCGUCCUGGCCCGUCGGCAGGCUCGCCUCGCUCGGAUUUACGGACCUAGCGCCGUUGCCGGGUGCUUGGUGUGGCUGUUAGUCGGCGGUGUCCUCGGACUGGCUUUUAUUACCGGUCAGCGACGCUACUGCUUUGGGUACUUUCAGGACCCGUCUUGAAACCCGGACCAAA